rnacentral:rRNA from 1 species
GACCGGCAAAUGGGUGAGUAACACGUAUGCAAUCUGCCUUUUGCUGGGGUAUAGCCAGAAGAAAUUCUGAUUAAUCCCCCAUAAUAUAAAGUUUCCGCAUGGAUCCUUUAUUAAAAUUUAGGUGGCAAAAGAUGAGCCUGCGUUUGAUUAGUUAGUUGGUGAGGUAACGGCUCUACCAAGACCACGAUCAGUAGGGGGCCUAAGAGGGUGUACCCCCACACUGGCACUGAGACACGGACCAGACUUCUACGGAAGGCAGCAGUGAGGAAUAUUGGUCAAUGGAGGAAACUCUGAACCAGCUAUGUCGCGUGCAGGAUGACAGCCUUUUAGGUUGUAAACUGCUUUUUUAUAGGAAUAAAACCUCCUACGAGAUAGGAGUUUGAAGGUACUAUACGAAUAAGUGUUGGCUAAUUCCGUGCCAGCAGCCGCGGCAAUACGGAGGACACAAGCGUUAUUCGGAUUUAUUGGGUUUAAAGGGUGUGUAGGCUGUUUAUUAAGUCAGUAGUGAAAGCUUACAGCUUAACUGUAAAAUGGCUAUUGAUACUGGUAAACUUGAGUAAGAUUGGAGCAUCUGGAAUGUAUGGUGUAGCGGUGAAAUGCAUAGAUAUCAUACAGAACACCGAUAGCGAAGGCAGGUUGCUAAAUCUUUACUGACGCUGAGUGCACGAAAGCGUGGGGAUCGAACAGGAUUAGAUACCCUGGUAGUCCACGCCUUAAACGAUGAUCACUAGCUAUUGGAAAUACGAUAUUCAGUGGCUUAGCGAAAGCGAUAAGUGAUCCACCUGGGAAGUACAGUCGCAAGAUUGAAACUCAAAGGAAUUGACGGGGGUUCGCACAAGCGGUGGAGCAUGUGGUUUAAUUCGAUGAUACGCGAGGAACCUUACCAAGGAUUAAAUGUAUUACGAAUAAGCUGGAAACAGCUUAGUCUAUACGACGUAUUACAAGGUGCUGCAUGGUUGUCUUCAGUUCGUGCUGUGAAGUGUUUGGUUAAGUCCUAUAACGAGCGCAACCCCUAUUGUUAGUUGCCAUCGGGUAAAGCCGGGGACUCUAAUAAAACUGCCUGUGUAAACAGCGAGGAAGGUGGGGAUGAUGUCAAAUCAU